rnacentral:misc_RNA from 1 species
AAGUCGUAACAAGGUUUCCGUAGGUGAACCUGCGGAAGGAUCAUCAACAAAUCUAAAGUUGUUUGGCCUAGCCAACAAUUAUACCAAUGUGAAUUGAGGCCUCGGCCUUUUAUUUUUUUUUUUUUGAACAUUGUUAAUAGCUUUGUGAUUAAAAAAAAAUAUUAACGAGUAAACUAGAGUCUUAUUAAAAAAUUAUAAUUAUAAUAACUUUUAACAAUGGAUCUCUUGGCUCUU